GAUGAACGCUGGCGGCGUGCCUAAUACAUGCAAGUCGAGCGAAUGGAUUAAGAGCUUGCUCUUAUGAAGUUAGCGGCGGACGGGUGAGUAACACGUGGGUAUCCUGCCCAUGAGACUGGGAUAACUCCGGGAAACAGGGGCUAAUACCGGAUACCAUUUUGAACCGCAUGGUUCGAAAUUGAAAGUCGGCGUCUGCUGUCACUCAUGGCUGGACCCGCGUCGCAUUAGCUAGUUGGUGAGGUAACGGCUCACCAAGGCAACGGUGCGUAGCCGACUUGGGAGGGUGAUCGGCCAAACUGGGACUGAGACACGGCCCAGACUCCUACGGGAGGCAGCAGUAGGGAAUCUUCCGGAAUGGACGAAAGUCUGACGGAGCAACGCCGCGUGAGUGAUGAAGGCUUUCGGGUCGUAAAACUCUGUUGUUAGGGAAGAACAAGUGCUAGUUGAAUAAGCUGGCACCUUGACGGUACCUAACCAGAAAGCCACGGCUAACUACGUGCCAGCCGCCGCGGUAA
rnacentral:rRNA from 1 species